UUCGAGCCUGGGAGAGGGGUUGGGAACCGGGGGAGGGGGCUUGGGGCCAGCUUUAGGGUGGCACAGCUUUAUGGGAUCUGUAUGGGGUCUGUAUGGGAUCUGUAUGGGAUUUGUAUGGGAUCUGGAGGUGCUCCUCCUCCUCCUCCCCACCAAACGCCAAAAAGUGGCGUUUUUUGGUAGUUUUCCAAAAAAAACCCAAACUGCCGAGCCCUUCCUGGCUUUUAGGGGACCGACCGUGUUCCCACCACCGCUGGUGGUCCCCAGCCCCGAUUCCUGCUGGAAAAACCCCAAAUCCCUCCGGAUCCGCCCCGAUAACCGCAGAGGCAGGGACCAUGAAUGGCUCCGGCACCGCAGCCCCCAGCCCCAAAGCCACGGAGGAGCAGAACGGGAACGGGAACGGGGAG
rnacentral:lncRNA from 1 species